GACGAACGCUGGCGGCGUGCUUAACACAUGCAAGUCGAACGGUGAGGCGCCUUCUUUGUUGGUGGCUCUGGUGGCGAGGCGAAGGGUAACGCGACACUUACCUAACCUUCCCUUUGCUAUAGCUUCACCACACUGGAGCUUAUCUCGUAUGGGAUCUUCUGGUGCUUUGUCGGGGUUGGUAUGGUUCGGCGGUUGGGGAUGGACUCGCGGCUUAGCAGCUCGAUGGUGGGGUAGUGGCUUACCAAGGCUUUGACGGGUAGCCGGCCUGAGAGGGUGACCGGCCACAGUGGGACUGAGAGACGGCCCAGACUCCGACGGGAGGCAGCAGUGGGGAAUAUUGCACAAUGGGCGGAAGCCUGAGGCAGCAACGCCGCGUGCGGGAUGACGGCCUUCGGGUUGUAAACCGCUUUCGCCUGUGACGAAGCGUGAGUGACGGUAAUGGGUAAAGAAGCACCGGCUAACUACGUG
rnacentral:rRNA from 1 species